rfam:Hordeum vulgare subsp. vulgare, WGS project CAJW01000000 data, contig: morex_contig_221897
AAACUACUCCCUCCGUCCGAAAUACUUGUUGGAGAAAUCGAUGUAUCUAGACAUAUUUUAGUUCUNNAUACAUCCAUUUUUAUCCAUUUCUGCGACAAGUAAUUUCGUAGGGAGGGAGUAUAAA